GUGGAGGUGGCCCAGCCUGGCAAGGCGAUAGAUUGCUAAUCUAUUGUCCGUAAGGACCCGGGGGUUCGAAUCCCCCCCUUCACG
rnacentral:tRNA from 1 species